UCAGGAUGAACGCUGGCGGCGUGCCUAAUACAUGCAAGUCGAGCGAAUGGAUUAAGAGCUUGCUCUUAUGAAGUUAGCGGCGGACGGGUGAGUAACACGUGGGUAACCUGCCCAUAAGACUGGGAUAACUCCGGGAAACCGGGGCUAAUACCGGAUAACAUUUUGAACCGCAUGGUUCGAAAUUGAAAGGCGGCUUCGGCUGUCACUUAUGGAUGGACCCGCGUCGCAUUAGCUAGUUGGUGAGGUAACGGCUCACCAAGGCAACGAUGCGUAGCCGACCUGAGAGGGUGAUCGGCCACACUGGGACUGAGACACGGCCCAGACUCCUACGGGAGGCAGCAGUAGGGAAUCUUCCGCAAUGGACGAAAGUCUGACGGAGCAACGCCGCGUGAGUGAUGAAGGCUUUCGGGUCGUAAAACUCUGUUGUUAGGGAAGAACAAGUGCUAGUUGAAUAAGCUGGCACCUGA
rnacentral:rRNA from 1 species